UGGGGAAUAUUGGGCAAUGGGGGAAACCCUGACCCAGCGACGCCGCGUGAGGGAAGAAGGUUUUCGGAUUGUAAACCUCUGUCCUUGGUGACGUUAAUGACGGUAGCCAAGGAGGAAGCCACGGCUAACUACGUGCCAGCAGCCGCGGUAAUACGUAGGUGGCGAGCGUUGUCCGGAAUUACUGGGUGUAAAGGGAGCGUAGGCGGGAGAGCAAGUCGACUGUGAAAGCUAUGGGCUUAACCCAUAGAUGCGAUCGAAACUGUUCAUCUUGAGUGAAGUAGAGGCAGGCGGAAUUCCUAGUGUAGCGGUGAAAUGCGUAAAUAUUAGGAGGAACACCAGUGGCGAAGGCGGCCUGCUGGGCUUUAACUGACGCUGAGGCUCGAAAGCGUGGGUAGCAAACAGGAUUAGAUACCC
rnacentral:rRNA from 1 species